CGACGAGGACGAGGACUCCGCAAGACAGGACUCCGCCAACUCAUGCACAGGUUUUCCUUAAUUACAACAAUGUCGCCUUAGAGCUAGGAAUAAUGACUUCCAGGUUUUUGUUUUAUUAGCAGUUUCACAGAAUGACUAUUGGAGGCAGGUGCUUAGAGUUUCUCACUUUGAUUAUGAAAUGUCUUCAAAGUAUUGUGUGUGGCAUACAUUCACAGAUUGCUCCUUUUCCUACUCACAGCAUUGAACUGAACAAGAGUUUGGAGAAAUGAUUAAAAAUAAAAAUUAUUAUUAUCUGUUGCUUAGUUUGUUCCUAGAUACACCAACAAUCCCAGGUCAAUAAAUAUUCCUGGUUUUUCUUCCAGGAAAGGGUUCAAACUGGGGCUGGUUUCAUAAUAACAAAGUAUUAUAGCCCUAGAUUUUGGCCUGUUAGCAAGUUCUUUUCAUUGAAUUUUAAAGUGACUUCAAAUAGAAAGAGCCCCUAACCAAGCACCUUUUAUUUAUCCAACCCAAAUACAAUUAUAAAUGAUCAGUUUUUCUACUCGCUUCUGAAGCUACUGCUGGUAAAGGAACAUCUGAAAAUAAUAGGAGAUCUGACAGGACUUUGAAUUCUGGCAAACAGCUUGCAGGGCUUCUAAUGCCCAGCUUAGCUGUAUGCACGUGCUUUAAAAAAUUAAAAAGAUUUGAAACACAAACUGCUUUCGACAUUUAUGCACCAUGGAAGUCAUGUUUAACUAUUUUUAUGCCAUAUGAGGAAUAAAUACCUUUAAUACAUUAAAAAACUGUUCCAUACAGUUUUAAGUACAGUGUAAAGCCCCACUUACAUAAUCUAAGUGACAUAAAGGGAACACUGCACCAUAUUUUGAUAAUUGCUCCAUAAUAAAUUUAAAGAAUGUAUUUUUUGUCUAAGCCUCACUUCUUAAUCUCCUGGGUAAACACGGCUAUUUGUUUUUCCUUUUCUUCUUUUUUCUGUACUUCUGUACUCCCAGCCAUGUUUCUUUGCCUUUUCCCUUUCGUAAUUCCUUUCACUUUUCUCCUCCUUCAGAGUUUCCAUUUUCCAAGAAGAAAGAAUUUCAGCAUUGCCCCCAGCUAACUUCUUAGUUACCAAACCAUAAGAGUGUUCAUUCUUUAUUGAAUUUACAGGGCACAGCCAUACAUGACUCCCAUACAUAUCCCAUGGAAAUACUUCAAUGCAUCAAUAGUGGAUGAACAGACGUUACUGUUAACUGUAAUUACCAAGUCUGACUUGUCAUCGCCUGCACGCACUUCCCAUUCUUUUCCUUUUUAGACUAGUACUACAUGUGAUAUUCUUAAAGGUAAACAGAAAGUAGUCAUACUAGUUCUAAAUUUGUAGUAAUCAUCAAAAGUAAGGGCUUUUAAAAUUUUUUAGAUGCUAUUUUUACCAUUGUUUCUGAAAAUAAUUCUCCUCACAGAAAAUAAUAUUCCACUGGUUGUUGUUAUGCUUGCUUCCAUUCCUGGAAGAUAUUCUAGCUCCUCACAUUGACUCAGCUUAGAAAUGAGAGGAAGAGGUGAUCAUAGAUCUGACAUUCACUUAGUUUAUUAGACUUACUUCCUACGGAUCGGUGACCCUGAAAGGAAAUAUGGUAAAAGGCAAAUGCCUGACUGGGGAAAAUGUUUAUUAAUACACAUCAGCUCUCAAAAAUAUUUUUUUAAAUGGAGACAGAUAAACAUCCCAAUAGAAAAAUAGGCAAAAAUAUGAAAAGGCAAUUCACAAAGGAAAUGCAAAUGGUCAAUUAACACAUGAAAAAUAUUCAAUUAAAUUAGUAUUCAAAGAAAUACACAUUUCUAAGCAAAUGAUUUUUUUCUCCUACCCAUUUUGCCAGGACUAAUAUUAGUGAUUAUAUUCAGUGUUGUCAUAAACGAGGAGCAUUCUCACACUUCUAGAAGCAGCACAAAAUAGUUGUCUUUCUGAAAGGGCAAAUUAGCCAUGCAUAUUAAAACUUUGAAAACUCCUCUGAAACCGUAACUGCUUAUUUCUGACUUAUGAUUAUGGGGGAUUUUGAUUUCUUCCUUUUGCUUAUCUAUGAUAAUAUAAAGUUUCUAUAGUGAAUGUGUAUUACUGUUAUAAUAAAAACAUAACAAACUAA